rnacentral:RNase_P_RNA from 1 species
AAAGAGAAUUAGACAAUCGCCCAGCACCUAUCUUUACUUAGUAAAUUAGUUUAACACUUAUAUGUAUUACGCAAAGAUAGGUGCCGGGAGGAAAGUCCGAACACCAGGAGCAAAAUACUUCGUAACACGAAGUUCCCGUAAGGGAAAGAUAGUGCCACAGAAAACAAACCGUCCCGAUUUAUCCUCCGAAGGGGGAUUUAUCGGGAUAAGGGUGAAAAGGUGGUGUAAGAGACCACCAGUUCUGAUGGUGACAUCAGAAGCUUGGUAAACCUUAUUGGUGCAAGGUCAAAUAGGAGAGAAUCUCCGAGAUGUCUCGGGGAACGAAUCGCUCCGUUCGUCAUACUCUCGGGUAGACUGCAAAAAUCAGUCAUUGGAAUGAACCGAUGAAUCCCGCACUUAUUUUUGAAUAAAUUAGAAUAUGAAGUAUAGUAAUUUGGUUAUUACAAAUAUAUCAUAUUAUUGUUGUAAGUCAUAUUUCGGAUUUAAAAAUAGGUGCGGGAUGCGGUGACGCCUGAUUCAGAUAAAUGAUUGUCGUCCCGACUUCUUAAGUCGGGAAACAGAAUUCGGCUUAUUAUUUUCUUUAGGA